rnacentral:lncRNA from 1 species
GGAAAUAAUUCCCAUUCGCCCAUUUUCGUAUAUUUUCUAUUUUCUUCUGUUUAUAUGUAAUUCGAAAGUAUUGUUUAUUCACUAGAAUUCAUAUAUAUAUUCAUUUUUAUCUUACACUCAUUACUUUUUAAUUUGCCAUAAAGUUUUAUGAUUUUUAAUUAUUAAACAUGCAAGAAAAUUAUUUGAAUUUACAAAUUUAUAUAUUGUAUUUGUAUAAACAAAAAUAUUAUCAUUUAAUUAUAUUUAUUUUUAUAUCUGUUCUUUGUAUUAUUUAUUAUUGUCAUGGACAUGAGCUGAUUCUAGGUAGAAAUACUAACAAAGCUGCGUUAGGAACAAGUUGGUGCUUUAAUCACUAUGGACCACAUUUUAAAUCCUAAAUUUUAUUGAUGAAGUAAUUUUUAAUAAUUAUAAAGGUG